rnacentral:rRNA from 1 species
UACGGAGGGUGCAAGCAUUGAUCGGAAUUACUGGGCGUAAAGGGCGCGUAGGAGGCCGAACAAGUCAGAUGUGAAAUUCCGGGGCUCAACCCCGGAGCAGCAUUUGAAACUAUUUGGCUAGAGUACAGUUAGGGUAAACGGAAUUCCACGUGUAGCGGUGAAAUGCGUAGAUAUGUGGAAGAACACCGGUGGUGAAGACGGUUUACUGGGCUGACACUGACGCUGAGGCGCGAAAGCAUGGGGAGCAAACAGG